UCUUAUGGAUGAGCAAAGAAAGUGGUUUCUUGAGAUAGAACCUACUCCUGUUGAAGAUGCUCUGAA
rnacentral:pre_miRNA from 4 species